GUAUAGACCCGAAACCCGGUGAUCUAGCCAUGGGCAGGUUGAAGGUUGGGUAACACUAACUGGAGGACCGAACCGACUAAUGUUGAAAAAUUAGCGGAUGACUUGUGGCUGGGGGUGAAAGGCCAAUCAAACCGGGAGAUAGCUGGUUCUCCCCGAAAGCUAUUUAGGUAGCGCCUCGUGAAUUCAUCUCCGGGGGUAGAGCACUGUUUCGGCAAGGGGGUCAUCCCGACUUACCAACCCGAUGCAAACUGCGAAUACCGGAGAAUGUUAUCACGGGAGACACACGGCGGGUGCUAACGUCCGUCGUGAAGAGGGAAACAACCCAGACCGCCAGCUAAGGUCCCAAAGUCAUGGUUAAGUGGGAAACGAUGUGGGAAGGCCCAGACAGCCAGGAUGUUGGCUUAGAAGCAGCCAUCAUUUAAAGAAAGCGUAAUAGCUCACUGGUCGAGUCGGCCUGCGCGGAAGAUGUAACGGGGCUAAACCAUGCACCGAAGCUGCGGCAGCGACACUGUGUGUUGUUGGGUAGGGGAGCGU
rnacentral:rRNA from 1 species